rnacentral:rRNA from 1 species
AGUGAACGCUGGCGGUAGGCCUAACACAUGCAAGUCGAACGGCAGCACAGUAAGAGCUUGCUCUUACGGGUGGCGAGUGGCGGACGGGUGAGGAAUACAUCGGAAUCUACUUUUUCGUGGGGGAUAACGUAGGGAAACUUACGCUAAUACCGCAUACGACCUACGGGUGAAAGCAGGGGAUCUUCGGACCUUGCGCGAUUGAAUGAGCCGAUGUCGGAUUAGCUAGUUGGCGGGGUAAAGGCCCACCAAGGCGACGAUCCGUAGCUGGUCUGAGAGGAUGAUCAGCCACACUGGAACUGAGACACGGUCCAGACUCCUACGGGAGGCAGCAGUGGGGUAUAUUGGACAAUGGGCGCAAGCCUGAUCCAGCCAUACCGCGUGGGUGAAGAAGGCCUUCGGGUUGUAAAGCCCUUUUGUUGGGAAAGAAAAGCAGCAGGUUAAGACCCCGCUGUUCUGACGGGACCCAAAGAAGAAGCACCGGCUAACUUCGU